UACGGGGGGGGCAAGCGUUGUUCGGAAUUACUGGGCGUAAAGGGCUCGUAGGCGGCCAACUAAGUCAGACGUGAAAUCCCUCGGCUUAACCGGGGAACUGCGUCUGAUACUGGAUGGCUAGAGAUUGGGAGAGGGAUGCGGAAUUCCAGGUGUAGCGGUGAAAUGCGUAGAUAUCAGGAAGAACACCCGUGGCGAAAGCGGCUCUCUGGAACGGUACUGACGCUGAGACGCGAAAGCGUGGGGAGCGAACAGG
rnacentral:rRNA from 1 species